AAAGUGACAGGUGGUGCAUGGUUGUUGUCAGCUCGUGUCGUGAGAUGUUGGGUUAAGUCCCGCAACGAGCGCAACCCUUAUUGUUAGUUGCCAUCAUUAAGUUGGGCACUCUAGCGAGACUGCCGGUGACAAACCGGAGGAAGGUGGGGAUGACGUCAAAUCAUCAUGCCCCUUAUGACCUGGGCUACACACGUGCUACAAUGGACAGUACAAUGAGCAGCGACACGGCGACGUGAAGCGAAUCUCAUAAAGCUGUUCUCAGUUCGGAUUGUAGGCUGCAACUCGCCUACAUGAAGCCGGAAUCGCUAGUAAUCGCGGAUCAGCACGCCGCGGUGAAUACGUUCCCGGGCCUUGUACACACCGCCCGUCACACCACGAAAGUUUGUAACACCCGAAGUCGGUGAGGUAACCGCAAGGAGCCAACCGCCUAAGGUGGGAUAGAUGAUUGGGGUGAAGUCGUAACAAGGUAACCAAGGGCGAAUUCCAG
rnacentral:rRNA from 1 species